UCAGUGAUGAAUAUUUCUCAUUGUGAAAUGAACAAUGAUCAAUUAUCCUCUAAGAAGUUCUGAGAAG